rnacentral:rRNA from 1 species
GACGAACGCUGGCGGCGUGCUUAACACAUGCAAGUCGAACGGAAAGGCCCUGCUUUUGUGGGGUGCUCGAGUGGCGAACGGGUGAGUAACACGUGAGUAACCUGCCCUUGACUUUGGGAUAACUUCAGGAAACUGGGGCUAAUACCGGAUAGGAGCUCCUGCUGCAUGGUGGGGGUUGGAAAGUUUCGGCGGUUGGGGAUGGACUCGCGGCUUACCAGCUUGUUGGUGGGGUAGUGGCUUACCAAGGCUUUGACGGGUAGCCGGCCUGAGAGGGUGACCGGCCACGUUGGGACUGAGAUACGGCCCAGACUCCUACGGGAGGCAGCAGUGGAGAGUAUUGCACAAUGGGCGGAAGCCUGAUGCAGCAACGCCGCGUGCGGGAUGACGGCCUUCGGGUUGUAAACCGCUUUCGCCUGUGACGAAGCGUGAGUGACGGUAAUGGGUAAAGAAGCACCGGCUAACUACGUG